rnacentral:rRNA from 2 species
GAACCCGGAAGCUAAGCCUCUCAGCGCCGAUGGUACUGCAAGGGGGACCUUGUGGGAGAGUAGGACGCCGCCGGAC